ACUCCUACGGGAGGCAGCAGUGGGGAAUAUUGCACAAUGGGCGCAAGCCUGAUGCAGCCAUGCCGCGUGUGUGAAGAAGGCCUUCGGGUUGUAAAGCACUUUCAGUCGUGAGGAAGGUAGUGUAGUUAAUAGCUGCAUUAUUUGUACGUUAGCGACAGAAGAAGCACCGGCUAACUCCGUGCCAGCAGCCGCGGUAAUACGGAGGGUGCGAGCGUUAAUCGGAAUUACUGGGCGUAAAGCGCAUGCAGGUGGUUUGUUAAGUCAGAUGUGAAAGCCCGGGGCUCAACCUCGGAAUAGCAUUUGAAACUGGCAGACUAGAGUACUGGUAGAGGGGGUUA
rnacentral:rRNA from 1 species